CAGUAGCCGCGGUAAUACGAAGGGGGCUAGCGUUGUUCGGAAUUACUAGGCGUAAAGCGCACGUAGGCGGAUACUUAAGUCAGGGGUGAAAUCCCGGGGCUCAACCCCGGAACUGCCUUUGAUACUGGGUAUCUCGAGUCCGGAAGAGGUGAGUGGAAUUCCGAGUGUAGAGGUGAAAUUCGUAGAUAUUCGGAGGAACACCAGUGGCGAAGGCGGCUCACUGGUCCGGUACUGACGCUGAGGUGCGAAAGCGUGGGGAGCAAACAGGAUUAGAUCCCCCGUAGUCCCUGUCUCUUAUACA
rnacentral:rRNA from 1 species